rnacentral:tRNA from 1 species
CAACAGGUGACUCAGUGGUAUAGCACCUGCCUGGCAUGUAGGAGGCCCUGGGUUUAAUGCCCAGCACUGUGGG